rnacentral:lncRNA from 1 species
ACACAUUCUGGAUCAAAGCAGACAUGCGGCCGGCGCUCUGCGAUCCAAGGCACACUGGGGUCUUUCAUCCGGUGUUUUUAAAAAGGAGGAAACAAAAGGCUCAGAGGCAGGGCCCCAGGUGCGCUCGCCCGCGGGGGCUGCGGCGCGGACGACCGAAGGUAACAGGCACGUCCCGGCCGAACUUCGAGACCCGGGCCCGGCAGCCGCCCCGGCGGGGAAGUUUCGUUUCCCGGACAGGGGAAGCCGAAGCGCCUCCUCGGGACAGGACCCCGCGCCGCCGGGACGCGCAGCCUUGAUACAAACGUCCUUGGGUGGCCGAGGAGUCCAGGAGUCGUUGCAGUCGUGGUCUCGGGGUUACUGGGGAUUGGGGAAAACCACGACUUCCUGGAAAAGUCUUCACCGUAAAUAUUAAUCUCUUUGGCAUGAAGAGGAAAACACUGCAGCUAAUUUUUCAUGGGAUAACAAAAAUAUAAACUGCAAUUUCUUUUAUUUUUUCCCUUUCGAUGGUCUUUUUAAACGAGGAGUAAAGAUUUCAACGCCAGGUCCAUUUUCCAAAUUUUGUACCAGAACCUUGAGGAUGCUUGUCUCUCGCGCGCUUCUCCGCAGACCGAACCCUCUCCGGAACUCAGAGCUGUUCACCCAAGUCAGCGGAGGAGGCCUCCUGGGACUUGAGCCUGAGGGUGGCGAAGAACCCUAGGCAGAGAUCAUCAACUUGGUACCGAUGAGUGACGCGGAGCUUGAACAUUCCAGCGACUUGCUCCAGGGCCACUCCCAGUUAAGAGGCUGAGUGUUAACUGCAAGAGGCUGAGUGUUAACUACGCCGUUGGCUCCAGGAACCGAACCGGGUUUGGAUACAGACCCAGUCACACCAUCCAUGAAAAGCUGUUUCUAUAAUAUGAAAAAUUGUUAAAUGACGCUUUAGUAAAAGCCAUUUAAAGAUCUUUUCUAAUAAAUUUUUCAUCUUUCCAAACAAUGCCGCUAAUUACCUUCUGAUACAGUGCGUUUCCAAAAUGUUUAUGAACUGAAAACAAAAAUAAAAAACUACAUUUUUAUGUUGUAAAGGGAGUGGGGGGGACUUUCUAAAAUUUGUCGUAUUAUAGCACUUCUCAUGACAACUUGACCCUUUAGGCAUAAUUUUUGACAAAAUGUCUUGUUCUUUUUCUUUUUACAGCUGAACGUCUUAAAUUCAAGGAGUAAACACAUAUAAUGAGAUAAAAGUUUAUCACUGUUAGCACAACCAAUAAUUUGCAUCGUAGUCUCAAUUUCCUCGAAUCUUUAAUAAAACCAAAGUGGUCAAGUGUUUAAAUGAUUAUACAGAUUGAGUACCCCUUAUCCAAAAUGCUUGGGACCAGAAAUAUUUUGGAUUCUGGAUUUUCUUGGAUUUUGCAAUAGUUGCAUAGACGUAACGAGAGAUCUUUGGGGAUGGAACUCAAGCCUAAACAUGAAAUUUAUUUAUGUUUUCUAUAUGCCUUAUACACAUGGCCUGAAGGUAAUUUUAUACAAUAUUUUAGAUAAUUUUGUGCAUGAAACAAAGUUUUGACUGCACUUUGACUGCAAGUCAUCACAUGAGGUCAGGUGUGGAAUUCGCCA